CAACUGUUUUAUUGAUUUCCCAUUCACAUUAUUUAGAGACUUUAGCUCCCACUAAGGCCCACUAACUGUGUCUACACACACAGUACGUUCUCUGUAGGGACCCAGUAUUUCAGGAGUAAAUGGCAGACACAUAUGCUACUGUAUGUUACGGCCUUGGUCAUGCAAUACUCCCAAAGUGACAUUAAUCCAAAAACGCGCACGCACACACAGCUUCACUAAAAUGGUUCCAGCAAUAAGAUACUCCCUCAGAGACUCAACGCACACAGGUAGCCACACACAUUUUGGAAACAUGCGAACACACACAUGCAUGCAGAUACUAACAGAGAAGCUCUUUACUUGAGAGACCAUCCACUUCAGUGUGCUCUGGAAAAGAAUUGUUUAAGUGUGGCACAACGGCAGAUGGGGGGCCUGAGUGGAGGAGUGAAAGAUGGGGGGAACGGAGGUGUGGAAAGCCAGUAAGUGGAGCUGAAUUCAGCGGGACAGUAAUUAUUUCUCGCUGCUGGUAUUUGACACCUGCCAGGGAAUGUCUGUAAAAACCCUACAGCUAGCAGAACAGAACAACACAACAUAGAGAGAUAGAGUCUCGGUGCUUAGGGAUUGAUUGAUAACUGUACUUACUCUACUUGGCCUUUUACCCCCAGGCACUGAAAAGAACAAUGAGACACUUCUUCACAGUGUUUGUAAGUAUCUGAGAGAAAAAGUGGGAGAAUCCACCUCUCUCUCUCUCUCUCUCUCUCUCUCUCUCUAUGUGUGUAUGUGUGUGUGUGUGAACAGCCUUAUGCACAUGCAUGUUUCCAUUGACAAUUUGCUUUCUGAACUGUAAAUCACUAUUACACUCUGCUUUUUCACUAUUUUAUAGUGUCAUCUCACAAAUCCCAGCGGUUCAAUUCAAUCACACCUAUUGUUCUCUGACGGGUCCUGCUGAGGAUGUAAUAUUCCCAGCCAACAUGGCACUUUUGCCUCAUAAAGAUGUACAUCCUUAUUUGGCCUUGGCUCUGUACAUCUAUGAGGAUAUGCAAAAGAAAAGCAGACAUGGCCUUUCCCCUCCAAACGAAGACAGCAUUACUAAUAAACAUUUGACUGAAACAUUUUUAAAACUAAUAAGUGUUUAAUUCAACACAAAGAUGUGCUAUUUCUUCCAUAUAUAUUUUUUGAAAUGUGAACAUCUUGUCAAAAUAUGCAGAUUGUAGCAUGCACAAAUAUAUAAAAAUGAUAAAAAUUCUGUUUUUAUUAAUGUUUCCCUUUCUAUGCAUACACAAAGGCUUACUGUAAUGCUAUUUUUAAGUUUUCUUGGUGUUUAGCCGAGCAGAGAUGGUCAGAACAUCCUUGAAUUAAAUUAUUUAUUUAUUAUUAUUAUUAUUUUUUUUUUUUUUAUGGCUAAGAAUGAAAAGAGAUUAGUUGAAAAUUAAAGGCUUUCACAUUUACUCUGCUGGUAUUUUUCUCUUGUUGUGCUGAUCUAUAAACCCAGGCGCUUUGCAGAAUGUUUCUUUAGAAGUUUGUAAGCCACUGCCUCUGUGUGUGUGCAUGUUUGUUUUUGCAAUCAGAGUCUGUUCUGUGGCUUAUUGGUUUAGUGUAAUUUGGGAGUAGCUCUAUUAAAAGAGAUGCUUUUGUUUACACAACAUUUUGACAGCAUUCCCCUGUCCAUCCCAGAACAUUAUGGUUAGAGUGU
ensembl:lncRNA